CCAGUGUUUUGCUGAGGUCACGGGGCCGCCUCUCCACGGAUUAUAGAAACAUCACAAUGGCCCUUUGCUCACCACAUUCUGGAGACUUGGCGAGUAUUCCUGGUGACUGGAGUGGCAGCAGACAAGAUGGGCUGGGCUGCAUUCCACACUGAGGGGACUCUGCUACCCAGAGGCUCCCUCGAACUGUGGAUUCUGAUAAGGAGCGUGGAGGGCGUGGUGAGAGAGACCCAGCCUGGAAAGGCCAGUGGUGUAGGCGGGAGGCGUGCGGCCGGCGGCCGGCGCAGAGCCCGGGACGGCGGUUUGUGUGUCCUCCCCACAGGCUCACGUGCCCCCAGAGUCAGAGCCCAACUUGGCAUUUCAUCUGAUCAAACUUUCCUGCCACAAUUUUAGCAGAAGAGCUCACGAUUCAGCUUCCACAUAAUGGGGUUAGUAAAGACACUCUGUUUUCUCAGAAG